rnacentral:misc_RNA from 1 species
GAAAUGCGAUAAGUAAUGUGAAUUGCAGAAUUCAGUGAAUCAUCGAAUCUUUGAACGCACAUUGCGCCCGCCAGUAUUCUGGCGGGCAUGCCUGUUCGAGCAUCAUUUCAACCAUCAAGCCCCCGGGCUUGUGUUGGGGACCUGCGGCUGCCGCAGGCCCCGAAAACCAGUGGCGGGCUCGCUGUCACACCGGGCGUAGUAGAUUUUUCGUCUCGCCCAGGGCGUGCUGCGGGUUCCGGCCGUUAAAAAGCCUCUCUUUUAACCCAAGGUUGACCUCGGAUCAGGUAGGAAGACCCGCUGAACUUAAGC